GUUUAUUGUACCUUGUUGCUUCGGUGCGCCCGCCUCACGGCCGCCGGGGGGCUUCUGCCCCCGGGUCCGCGCGCACCGGAGACACCAUUGAACUCUGUCUGAAGAUUGCAGUCUGAGCAUAAACUAAAUAAGUUAAAACUUUCAACAACGGAUCUCUUGGUUCCGGCAUCGAUGAAGAACGCAGCGAAAUGCGAUAACUAAUGUGAAUUGCAGAAUUCAGUGAAUCAUCGAGUCUUUGAACGCACAUUGCGCCCCCUGGUAUUCCGGGGGGCAUGCCUGUCCGAGCGUCAUUGCUGCCCUCAAGCACGGCUUGUGUGUUGGGCUCCGUCCCCCCGGGGACGGGUCCGAAAGGCAGCGGCGGCACCGAGUCCGGUCCUCGAGCGUAUGGGGCUUUGUCACCCGCUCUGUAGGCCCGGCCGGCGCCAGCCGACAACCAAUCAUCCUUUUUUCAGGUUGACCUCGGAUCAGGUAGGGAUACCCGCUGAACUUAAGCAUAUCA
rnacentral:rRNA from 1 species